rnacentral:tRNA from 1 species
ACCUGGGUGGCUCAGUUGGUUGAGCAUCUGACUCUUAGUUUCAGCUCAGGUCAUGGUCUCGCAGUUUGUGGGAUCGAGCCCUGCUUCAGGUU